rnacentral:rRNA from 1 species
AACGCUGGCGGCGCGUUUUAAGCAUGCAAGUCGAACGGGAUCCAUGGCUUCGGCUGUGGUGAGAGUGGCGAACGGGUGAGUAACACGUAGGUUAUCUACCUUUGGGUGGGGGAUAGCCCAUGGAAACAUGGGGUAAUACCGCAUAAUGCCGUAAGGUUAAAGGAGCAAUUGUUCCGCCUGAGGAUGAGCCUGCGGUCCAUUAGCUAGUUGGUGAGGUAAGAGCUCUACCAAGGCGACGAUGGAUAGCCGGCCUGAGAGGGUGAACGGCCACACUGGGACUGAGACACGGCCCAGACUCCUACGGGAGGCAGCAGCUAAGAAUCUUCCGCAAUGGGCGAAAGCCUGACGGAGCGACGCCGCGUGGACGAAGAAGGCCGGAAGGUUGUAAAGUCCUUUUCUCUGAGA